GGUCGGGCACGGUGGCUCACGCUGGUAAUCCCAGCACUUUGAAAGGCUGAAGUGGGCUGAUCCCUUGAGAUCAGCAGUUCGAGACCACCCUGACCAACAUGGUUGAAACCCCGUCUCUACCAAAAAAUACAAAAAUUAGCCAGAUGUGGUGAUGCAUACCUGUAGUCCCAACUACUCGGGAGGUUGAGACACGAAAAUUGCUUGAAUGGGGAGGCGGAGGUUGCAGUGAGCAGAGAUUGUGCCACUGUACUCCAGCCUGGGUGACAGAGUGAGACCCUGUCUCAAAAACAAAGGAAGGCAUAACUGUUUUCAUUACUAAUUGUCUUUAUGAUAAUUGUUUUCUUU
rnacentral:lncRNA from 10 species